GAUGAAGAACGUAGCGAAAUGCGAUAUGUAAUGUGAAUUGCAGAAUUCAGUGAAUCAUCGAAUCUUUGAACGCACAUUGCGCCCUCUGGUAUUCCGGGGGGCAUGCCUGUUCGAGCGUCAUUAUAACCACUCAAGCUCUCGCUUGGUAUUGGAGUUCGCGAUCUCGCGGCUCCUAAAAUCAGUGGCGGUGCCUGUCGGCUCUACGCGUAGUAAUACUCCUCGCGAUUGAGUCCGGUAGGUUUACUUGCCAGCAACCCCCAAUUUUUACAGGUUGACCUCGGAUCAGGUAGGGAUACCCGCUGAACUUAAGCAUAUCAAUAAGCGGAGGA
rnacentral:misc_RNA from 1 species